ensembl:lincRNA
NNNNNNNNNNNNNNNNNNNNNNNNNNNNNNNNNNNNNNNNNNNNNNNNNNNNNNNNNNNNNNNNNNNNNGGCGCCCGGGCUGCCCGCCUGCGCCCCGCAGAGCCCGCUCCGCAGCCGCCCUGACAGGGAGGUUGGUCUGGAUGGGGGUCCGGUCUUCCUGUUGCUGGCCAGGAUGAGGGCAGGUUACGACAGCGCGCAACCGGCUCCCUUCGGCAGCGGUGAGACCGGCGGGGGCGGGGAAACCAGGCGAACGAGCAGGCGGGUGAACCCCACGGCCGCCUCCGCCUCCUCCGCUUCCUCCCUGGCCGCCGCCUCCACCCCUGGUUGGCCGGCGCCAAGGCUGUCGCACAUUUUGCCUGUCAUCGAGGUCGCAAAGCGCCGCUUUGCGGCUGCCACGUGACUGCCUUCCUGUCAAGCGCUAGGCGCGCGACUACCGGGCGGGCGUCCGCGCGCCGCUGGCAGAGUCCCCAACUAGCAACUGCGGGAGCUAGUUGUCCCGCAUCAGGUUAUUCCAGUUUGGAAUUAAGCAAAGGCCUCAGGGUACUGCCUCCUCCUGGCUGGGGCGGGGAUCAGCUUCUAAGCCUUAACGAGGCUCAGCCUCACUACAAAACCUGCUUACACACCGGCACACUCAAUCCCAGGCCCCCUGACUCGUGCAUCCUCAACCUCUCGAUAACACAGAGGUAACCGGGCGCUGAGAUCGACUUGGGUGAACGUAGAAGCUGAGAAAAGUGAGACUAUAGAUCCCAAGGAAAGGAGAAGCGGUUUUUGUUAGUUAUGACAAAUAAAAACUUUUCUAUUCCUGCAGCAUAACAUUUAUUUUUUAGACCUAAAAACUUGAGUCCGGCUUUGAAUAUAGUCAAUUUAAAAUACUUCUAUAAGUGAAGAAAUUUUAUUGAAACACCAAUUACUAAAUUUCAAUUUAUAGUCAGAAAUUGAACGGCCUUGAGACAAGAAUAAUCAAAGACUAUAUAAUGAAGUGUGACAGUUUGUAAUUGUCACUGGAGGAAAAGUUACAGUGGGAUACGUUUAACUUUGACUUGGGAAAAUAUCAUCUUCUGGACUGUAAUAGAGCAUUGACUUGCCUUGCAAGGUGCAUUAAACCCUGAAAUUAUAAAGUAAGAUUGCUUAUUUUGUGCUAUAAAGUAGAUGCUAGUGAAAUGACCAUAUAGACCAAGGCCUCCAUCUUUGUAUUCCCUGAAGACAAAGAAGAGCACUAUCCUGUUCCAAAGAUCUAGGCUCAUCCUGUGUUUUUUAGAUGAAGAUAGCCUGGCAUACAACUCUCAUGCAGUAGUCUGUAUUUAGACCAGAAUUAGCUAGGUAAGGAAUAGAAUUAUCCGUAGUCACAUGAAUUGAAUGUAUUUUUUUAAUUGCCAUCCCAUAGGAAGAAUUUCCAAAAUAUAGCACACGUGUGAAUCACAAGGUGAAACACAGUACCAGCAGUUUAAGUGUAGUAAUUCAGUUGCCCCAAUCUCAUUCUUACAAAGAUUUUACAGAAUAAAAAACUACUCUGAGAAGUUAAGAAUUUUCUCAAAGUCAUGCGACAAAGUGACAGACCUGUAUUCUGUAUUCAAGACUAGGUCAAAACUAGUGCUCUUUCCACUUACCCUGUUGUCUCCCUGCAAUUCACCCUCCAUGUUGCAAAGUUUGUACAUUUCCUGAGACUGAGUCUUCCUUUUGACCUACCUAUUCAUGGGUUGGGUACCCAGCAU